UACAGAGGGUGCAAGCGUUAAUCGGAAUUACUGGGCGUAAAGCGCUCGUAGGCGGAUUCUUAAGUCGAUUGUGAAAGCCCUGGGCUUAACCUGGGAACUGCAGUCGAUACUGGGUAUCUAGAGUAUGGUAGAGGAUAGUGGAAUUCCCGGUGUAGCAGUGAAAUGCGUAGAUAUCGGGAGGAACACCAGUGGCGAAGGCGACUUUCUGGACCAAUACUGACGCUGAGGAGCGAAAGCGUGGGGAGCAAACAGG
rnacentral:rRNA from 1 species